GGGUCGAUGGCGUAGAUGGUUAUCGCAUCUGUCUAACAUUUAAGUAUCCUCAGGUAUCAAUGUUCACAGAAGGUCCUCAGUUCGAACCUGGGUCGACUCA